rnacentral:lncRNA from 1 species
AGCGACAGCAAAUCGGAGGGCAAGCGACGGAAGAAGAGCGACUUAUCCGAGGAGAAAUCUACAUGAUUACUGGGGGAUCAUCUAGGUCAGAAGAGUCCCUCAGCUUACAACACCAUCCUCGACCAUCCUAGCCUGUGGACUUUGAAAGCUAUUGUCUCAAGCCAUCAUCUGAUGGUGAAGUUUUCGACCAAACACAGAGUGGGAC